CAAUAGCGUAUAUUAAAGUUGUUGCAGUUAAAAAGCUCGUAGUUGGAUUUCUGGUGGGAGCACGGGUCGGCCCUCACGGGUUGUACUGUUGUUGCGUCCCGCCGUUUCGGAGGGAAUGGUCUCGCUAUUAAGUUAGCGUGAUCGGGAACUCUGUCGUUUACUGUGAAAAAUUAGAGUGUUCAAAGCAGGCCUUCGCUGUGAAUACAUUAGCAUGGAAUAAUAAGAUAGGACUGUAGUGCUAUUUUGUUGGUUUGCGUACUAUGGUAAUGAUUAAUAGGGAUAGUUGGGGGUGGCUAGUAUUGGCCGGCCAGAGGUGAAAUUCUUGGAUUCGGUCAAGACUAACUUAUGCGAAAGCAUUCACCAAGGAUGUCUUCUUUAAUCAAGAACGAAAGUUAGGGGGAGUCGAAGAUGAUCAGAUACCAU
rnacentral:rRNA from 1 species